AGUAAUGUCUGGGAAACUGCCUGAUGGAGGGGGAUAACUACUGGAAACGGUAGCUAAUACCGCAUAACGUCGAAAGACCAAAGAGGGGGACCUUCGGGCCUCUUGCCAUCGGAUGUGCCCAGAUGGGAUUAGCUUGUUGGUGGGGGUAAUGGCUCACCAAGGCGACGAUCCCUAGCUGGUCUGAGAGGAUGACCAGCCACACUGGAACUGAGACACGGUCCAGACUCCUACGGGAGGCAGCAUG
rnacentral:rRNA from 1 species